CAGGCCUAACACAUGCAAGUCGAGCGGACCUUUCGGGGUCAGCGGCGGACGGGUGAGUAACGCGUGGGAACGUGCCUUCCGGUUCGGAAUAACCCUGGGAAACUAGGGCUAAUACCGGAUACGCCCUUAUGGGGAAAGGUUUACUGCCGGAAGAUCGGCCCGCGUCUGAUUAGCUAGUUGGUGGGGUAACGGCCUACCAAGGCGACGAUCAGUAGCUGGUCUGAGAGGAUGAUCAGCCACACUGGGACUGAGACACGGCCCAGACUCCUACGGGAGGCAGCAGUGGGGAAUAUUGGACAAUGGGCGCAAGCCUGAUCCAGCCAUGCCGCGUGAGUGAUGAAGGCCUUAGGGUUGUAAAGCUCUUUUAUCCGGGACGAUAAUGACGGUACCGGAGGAAUAAGCCCCGGCUAACUUCGUGCCAGCAGCCGCGGUAAUAC
rnacentral:rRNA from 1 species